GUCCUAGCCCUAAACGAUGAAUGCUUGGUGUGGCGGGUAUCGAUCCCUGCCGUGCCGAAGCUAACGCAUUAAGCAUUCCGCCUGGGGAGUACGGUAGCAAGGCUGAAACUCAAAGGAAUUGACGGGGCCGCACAAGCGGUGGAGCAUGUGGUUUAAUUCGACGCAACGCGAAGAACCUUACCCAGGCUUGAACUGCAGAUGACAUCAUACGAAAGUAGGCUUCCGCAAGGACAUCUGUAGAGGUGCUGCAUGGCUGUCGU
rnacentral:rRNA from 1 species